CACACCCUGCCUUGUGCGAUACCUACGGCUGCGAUGACCCAACACCGAUUUUUAGGGAGCCGAUCUCCGGCGGCGGAUUGCAGACCUCCCGGCCAGGCUUUGCGCCCGGUUGGACGAAGGGAGCGUGAACCCGCAGGGAGGCACCCACCUGCUAUAGGGGCAGGUCACUCUUAGCCGUCCCCGGCUUGGCGGGGCUUCU
rnacentral:other from 1 species